UACAGAGGUCCCAAGCGUUGUUCGGAUUUAUUGGGCGUAAAGAGCGUGUAGGCGGCCUGACAGGUCUGCUGUGAAAACUCGAGGCUCAACCUCGAGAUGUCGGCGGAAACCGUCUGGCUAGAGUCCGGAAGAGGAGAGUGGAAUUCCUGGUGUAGCGGUGAAAUGCGCAGAUAUCAGGAAGAACACCCGUGGCGAAGGCGGUUCUCUGGGACGGUACUGACGCUGAGACGCGAAAGCGUGGGGAGCGAACAGG
rnacentral:rRNA from 1 species